rnacentral:rRNA from 1 species
AAUCAACGCUGGCGGCGUGCCUCAGACAUGCAAGUCGAACGCUGCUGUUCGCCUUCGGGUGGACAGCGGAGUGGCGCACGGGUGAGUAACACGUAGGUAAUCUACCUUUGGGUGGGAAUAACAGCCGGAAACGGCUGCUAAUACCGCAUAAUGCAGCGGCAUCACAUGAUGACAGUUGUUAAAGCGAGGGAUCGUAAGACCUCGCGCCUGAAGAGGAGCCUGCGGCAGAUUAGGUAGUUGGUGAGGUAAUGGCUCACCAAGCCUGCGAUCUGUAACCGGCUGAGAGGGCGGUCGGUCACACUGACACUGACAUACGGGUCAGACU